rnacentral:lncRNA from 1 species
GUCGGUUGGUGAACAACCAAGCCUGCUGCUGCUGUGACCUCAGGAACAUAUUCUUGGGUUUUGUUCUCUAAACAAAUAAAGCAAAAUCACAAGCUCUUGAUCAAAUUGGGAAAAAUGGUGCUUGGGAGAUAAUCAAUAAAAGCAAAGAAGGUUGCCAGGCCAGUCAAUAAACAUUGAUGUUUAUCUCCAGGCUGGUCCCAAUUCUGACCUCUUCUAAGUGUAAGCAUUAUUUCCCUUCCCAGUUGCCUGUGAACAACUAACUUGAGAGAAGAGACUGUAGAGUUUGAUGUCAGCCUAGUCCUGCUGUGCCAAGAGGGAUAGGGCUCAUGUUCCAUCUGGGCUGCUGGAAAAAUCUGUCACCUAUCUGCCAGAUUCCUUGGAGAGGAAAAUGCACUUGCUGGAUGAAGAAAAAAUGAUCUGGAAAAAAGAAGACAAAGAGUAUUAGAAGCAAUUGGCUGCAGCAAUAGUGAAAAGAGAUACUUAAAGCAUGGAAAAAUGUGACAUUCCAUUGACAUUUAUCUGCCUCAUCAGAAAGUUGACUUCACCUGGGAAUGUUAAAAUGGGAGGAGACAGAUAUCCAAGCUUCCCUUACUUGUAAGUAUGGAUCUGAAGAAAGGCAGAUAAGGUGUGCUGACAGAUGGGACAGCCCAAUGGCAAAUUGCCCAUCAGCUGGGACAGAUGUUUGGUGCCAUUGGAAGAAAAACCUGCAAACCUGGAACAAUGGUAAGGUCAAUGUUAAGGUACUGAUGAUGUUUCAGAAAUGGAGCUGGUUGAAUUAUUUCAGAUUUU